CCUACGGGAGGCAGCAGUGAGGAAUAGUGGUCAAUGGACGAGAGUCUGAACCAGCCAAGUAGCGUGAAGGAUGACGGCCCUAUGGGUUGUAAACUUCUUUUAUAAAGGAAUAAAACGAGGCACGUGUGCCUUUUUGCAUGUACUUUAUGAAUAAGGAUCGGCUAACUCCGUGCCAGCAGCCGCGGUAAUACGGAGGAUCCGAGCGUUAUCCGGAUUUAUUGGGUUUAACGGGAGCGUAGAUGGGUUGUUAAGUCAGUGGUUAAAGUUUGCGGCUCAACCGUAAACUUGCCAUUGAUACUGGCAGUCUUGAGUACACUUGAGGUCGGCGGAAUUCGUGGUGUAGCGG
rnacentral:rRNA from 1 species